UGUAAUUUUUGUCCUCGAUGAUGAGAAAUCCAUAGGCUUGUUUCUCAAAACAUUCGCAGUGGCCGCCUGAGAGCUUUCGCCUUGCCGGGCUUGAGAGCUUGUGCUGCUUCAAUCCUUCCUUGGAUGUCUGAGACUCCUCUAUUUUCAUUGUUCCUUCGAAGGUAGUUUCAUAUGUUCUGCUAUCUAUCUAGGUUUUUGAAUUUCCCCUUUUAUUCUUAUAUUGGGUUUUUUUCCUAUUUGUAUGAAAUGCAAAUUUGGGAUUGUCUAUGAUGAAAAAUCCAAAGGCUUGUUUCUCAAAACAUUCGCAGUGGCCGCCUGAGAGCUUUCGCCUCGCCGGGCUUGAGAGCUUAUGCUGCUUCAAUCCUUCCUUGGAUGUCUGAGACUCUUCUAUAUUCAUUGUUCCCUCGAAGGUACCCAAGUAAGGAUGGUUGGUGUUCACGAUGGAUCUAAAUUGGCACAUGGAUCAUCUAGACAUCUACCACCCUCUGCCAGAGUAUCAAAGUUUUUUCUCUUUGGGUUGUUUUACAUUCUGUCUGGUUGCGUUUGGUCAGAUAAUAGAAUAAAAUCUGAUCAAAACCGAGGAAAGAUGCUCGUGGAUGUGUGA